UACGGGGGGAGCAAGCGUUGUUCGGAAUGACUGGGCGUAAAGGGCGCGUAGGCGGUUUGUACAGUCAGAUGUGAAAUUCCUGGGCUCAACCUGGGGGCUGCAUUUGAUACGUGCGGACUUGAGUGAGGAAGAGGGUCGUGGAAUUCCCAGUGUAGAGGUGAAAUUCGUAGAUAUUGGGAAGAACACCGGUGGCGAAGGCGGCGACAUGGUCCGUGACUGACGCUGAGGCGCGAAAGCGUGGGGAGCAAACAGG
rnacentral:rRNA from 1 species